AGACGAGGAGCUUGCUCCUCUGACGUUAGCGGCGGACGGGUGAGUAACACGUGGAUAACCUACCUAUAAGACUGGGAUAACUUCGGGAAACCGGAGCUAAUACCGGAUAAUAUAUUGAACCGCAUGGUUCAAUAGUGAAAGACGGUUUUGCUGUCACUUAUAGAUGGAUCCGCGCCGCAUUAGCUAGUUGGUAAGGUAACGGCUUACCAAGGCAACGAUGCGUAGCCGACCUGAGAGGGUGAUCGGCCACACUGGAACUGAGACACGGUCCAGACUCCUACGGGAGGCAGCAGUAGGGAAUCUUCCGCAAUGGGCGAAAGCCUGACGGAGCAACGCCGCGUGAGUGAUGAAGGUCUUCGGAUCGUAAAACUCUGUUAUUAGGGAAGAACAAAUGUGUAAGUAACUAUGCACGUCUUGACGGUACCUAAUCAGAAAGCCACGGCUAACUACGUGCCAGCAGCCGCGGUAAUACGUAGGUGGCAAGCGUUAUCCGGAAUUAUUGGGCGUAAAGCGCGCGUAGGCGGUUUUUUAAGUCUGAUGUGAAAGCCCACGGCUCAACCGUGGAGGGUCAUUGGAAACUGGAAAACUUGAGUGCAGAAGAGGAAAGUGGAAUUCCAUGUGUAGCGGUGAAAUGCGCAGAGAUAUGGAGGAACACCAGUGGCGAAGGCGACUUUCUGGUCUGUAACUGACGCUGAUGUGCGAAAGCGUGGGGAUCAAACAGGAUUAGAUACCCUGGUAGUCCACGCCGUAUACGAUGAAUGCUAAGUGUUAUG
rnacentral:rRNA from 1 species